rnacentral:rRNA from 1 species
GACGAACGCUGGCGGCGUGCUUAACACAUGCAAGUCGAACGGAAAGGCCCUGCUUUUUUGGGGUGCUCUAGUUGCGAACUGGUGAGUAACACUUGAGUUCCCUGCCCUUGACUUUGGGAUAACUUCAUGACACUUGGUCUCAUACCGGCUAGGAGCUCCUGCUUCAUGGUGGGGGUUGGAAGGUUUCGGCGGUUGGUGAUGGACUCGCGGCUUAUCAGCUUGGUGGUGGGGUAGUGGAUUACCAAGGCUUUGACGGGUAGCCGGGCUGCGAGGGUGACAGGCCAAACUGGAAUGGAAAUAAGGCCCAGACUACUACGGGACGCAGGAGUGGGGAGUAGUACACAAUGGGAGGAAGGAUGAUGCAGCAAAGCAGCGUGGGGGAUGAGGGCAUUCGGGUUGUAAACCGAUUUCGCCUGUGACGAAGCGUGAGUGACGGUAAUGGGUAAAGAAGCACCGGCUAACUACGUG